rnacentral:rRNA from 1 species
UACGUAGGCAGCAAGCGUUGUUCGGAAUUACUGGGCGUAAAGAGUGUGUAGGCGGUGUUCUAAGUUUGUCGUGAAAUCUCCCGGCUUAACUGGGAGGGUGCGGCGAAAACUGGAAUGCUAGAGGAUGGGAGAGGUAAGCGGAAUUCCUGGUGUAGCGGUGAAAUGCGUAGAUAUCAGGAGGAACACCUGUGGUGUAGACGGCUUACUGGACCAUGACUGACGCUGAGGCACGAAAGCGUGGGGAGCAAACAGG